rnacentral:misc_RNA from 1 species
GAUGAAGAACGCAGCGAAAUGCGAUAAGUAAUGUGAAUUGCAGAAUUCAGUGAAUCAUCGAAUCUUUGAACGCACAUUGCGCCCCUUGGUAUUCCGAGGGGCAUGCCCGUUCGAGCGUCAUUAUACCCCUCAAGCCUAGCUUGGUGUUGGGGCCUGCUGUUACCGGCAGCCCUUAAAAUCAGUGGCGGUGCCAUCUGGCUCUAAGCGUAGUAAUACUUCUCGCUACAGGGUCCCGGUGGAUGCUUGCCAUCAACCCCUAAUUUUCUAUGGUUGACCUCGGAUCGGGUAGGGAUACCCGCUGAACUUAAGCAUAUCAAUAAGCGGAGGAA